rnacentral:misc_RNA from 1 species
GAUGAAGAACGCAGCGAAAUGCGAUAAGUAGUGUGAAUUGCAGAAUUCAGUGAAUCAUCGAAUCUUUGAACGCACAUUUCGCCCUUUGGUAUUCCAAAGGGCAUGCCUGUUCGAGCGUCAUUUGUACCCUCAAGCUUUGCUUGGUGUUGGGCGUCUUGUCUCUAGCUUUGCUGGAGACUCGCCUUAAAGUAAUUGGCAGCCGGCCUACUGGUUUCGGAGCGCAGCACAAGUCGCACUCUCUAUCAGCAAAGGUCUAGCAUCCAUUAAGCCUUUUUUUCAACUUUUGACCUCGGAUCAGGUAGGGAUACCCGCUGAACUUAAGCAUAUCAAUAAGCGGAGGA